GACGAACGCUGGCGGCGUGCUUAACACAUGCAAGUGGAGCGACGAACCGGGCUUCGGCCCGGGGCAAAGCCGCGAACGGGUGAGUAUCACGUGGGUAACCUGCCCCGAUGACCGGGAUAACCCGAGGAAACUCGGGCUAAUACCGGAUGUGCUCCUCGCACAUCAGUGCAAGGAGUAAAGGAAGCUUCGGCCUCCGCAUUGGGAUGGGCCCGCGGCCCAUUAGCUUGUUGGUGAGGUAACGGCUCACCAAGGCGACGAUGGGUAGCUGGUCUGAGAGGACGAUCAGCCACACUGGGACUGAGACACGGCCCAGACUCCUACGGGAGGCAGCAGUGGGGAAUCUUGCGCAAUGCGCGAAAGCGUGACGCAGCAACGCCGCGUGAGGGAAGAAGGCCUUCGGGUUGUAAACCUCUUUCAGCAGGGACGAAGCGAAAGUGACGGUACCUGCAGAAGAAGCACCGGCUAACUACGUGCCAGCCGCCGCCGUAAAAC
rnacentral:rRNA from 1 species